ensembl:snoRNA
UACCUCUGUGUGGCUGUGUUCUUACACUGACUGUAGAGAGAGAGGAGGCAGAGUAAACCUACCCCAUAUACACCUCAGCCCAGGCCUGUGCCUAGUCUGUAUUGUGAAUAGGGAGACAAGG